rnacentral:rRNA from 1 species
GAUGAACGCUGGCGGCGUGCCUAAUACAUGCAAGUCGAGCGAACAGACGAGGAGCUUGCUCCUCUGACGUUAGCGGCGGACGGGUGAGUAACACGUGGAUAACCUACCUAUAAGACUGGGAUAACUUCGGGAAACCGGAGCUAAUACCGGAUAAUAUAUUUAACCACAUGGUUCAAUAGUGAAAGACGGUUUUGCUUUCACUUAUAGAUGGAUCCCCGUCGCAUUAGCUAGUUGGUAAGUUAACGGUCUACCAAGGGAAGGAUGCGUAGCCGACCUGAGAGGGUGAUCGGCCACACUGGAACUGAGACACGGUCAAGACUCCUACGGGAGGCAGCAGAAGGGAAUCUUCGGCAAUGGGCGAAAGCCUGACGGAGCAACGCCGCGUGAGUGAUGAAGUUCUUCGGAUCGUAAAACUCUGUUAUUAGGGAAGAACAAAUGUGUAAGUAACUGUGCACGUCUUGACGGUACCUAAUCAGAAAGCCACGGCUAACUACGUG